GUGAACGCUGGCGGUAGGCCUAACACAUGCAAGUCGAACGGCAGCACAGUAAGAGCUUGCUCUUACGGGUGGCGAGUGGCGGACGGGUGAGGAAUACAUCGGAAUCUACUUUUUCGUGGGGGAUAACGUAGGGAAACUUACGCUAAUACCGCAUACGACCUACGGGUGAAAGCAGGGGAUCUUCGGACCUUGCGCGAUUGAAUGGGCCGAUGUCGGAUUAGCUAGUUGGCGGGGUAAAGGCCCACCAAGGCGACGAUCCGUAGCUGGUCUGAGAGGAUGAUCAGCCACACUGGAACUGAGACACGGUCCAGACUCCUACGGGAGGCAGCAGUGGGGAAUAUUGGACAAUGGGCGCAAGCCUGAUCCAGCCAUACCGCGUGGGUGAAGAAGGCCUUCGGGUUGUAAAGCCCUUUUGUUGGGAAAGAAAAGCAGCAGGUUAAUACCCCGCUGUUCUGACGGUACCCAAAGAAUAAGCACCGGCUAACUUCGUG
rnacentral:rRNA from 1 species